rnacentral:rRNA from 1 species
AACGAACGCUGGCGGCACGCCUAACACAUGCAAGUCGAACGAAGGCUUCGGCCUUAGUGGCGCACGGGUGCGUAACGCGUGGGAAUCUGCCCUUUGGUUCGGAAUAACAGCUGGAAACGGCUGCUAAUACCGGAUGAUGACGAAAGUCCAAAGAUUUAUCGCCAGAGGAUGAGCCCGCGUUGGAUUAGGUAGUUGGUGGGGUAAAGGCCUACCAAGCCGACGAUCCAUAGCUGGUCUGAGAGGAUGAUCAGCCACACUGGGACUGAGACACGGCCCAGACUCCUACGGGAGGCAGCAGUGGGGAAUAUUGGACAAUGGGCGCAAGCCUGAUCCAGCAAUGCCGCGUGAGUGAUGAAGGCCCUAGGGUUGUAAAGCUCUUUUACCCGGGAAGAUAAUGACUGUACCGGGAGAAUAAGCCCCGGCUAACUCCGUG